rnacentral:tmRNA from 1 species
GGGGGCGAACUGGAUUCGACCGGAUAGCCUGAAGCGCAAGUGGCGUGCCGUGGUUGAUCAGAUGGCCACGUUAAAAGCUGAUCACAUUUUAGUUGCCGAGAGCAAUCUCGUCCUGGCUGCCUAACUAGGAGCCACCAACUGCGGGCUUUCACCGGAGAGGCCCAAAAGCUGGUCACCAAUUCCGGUUCGCCGCGGCUCAUAACGGGUACAGCCGCGGUUCAACAAGUUCCCGAAUAAGCUGACGGGGAGUCCGCAGAGCAACGCCCCUUUGGACGAAAAAUAAAGGCCCUGCUACGCACGUAGAAGCUUUCGUGAAAAUAUCGCGGGACGCGGGUUCAAUUCCCGCCGCCUCCACUG